rnacentral:rRNA from 1 species
ACUCCUACGGGAGGCAGCAGUGGGAAUAUUGCACAAUGGGGGAAACCCUGAUGCAGCAACGCCGCGUGAGUGAUGACGGCCUUCGGGUUGUAAACUCUGUCUUUGGGGACGAUAAUGACGGUACCCAAGGAGGAAGCCACGGCUAACUACGUGCCAGCAGCCGCGGUAAUACGUAGGUGGCAAGCGUUGUCCGGAUUUACUGGGCGUAAAGGGAGCGUAGGUGGAUAUUUAAGUGGGAUGUGAAAUACUCGGGCUUAACCUGGGUGCUGCAUUCCAAACUGGAUAUCUGAGUGCAGGAGAGGAAAGGAGAAUUCCUAGUGUAGCGGUGAAAUGCGUAGAGAUUAGGAAGAAUACCAGUGGCGAAGGCGCCUUUCUGGACUGUAACUGACACUGAGGCUCGAAAGCGUGGGGAGCAAACAGGAUUAGAUACCCUGGUAGGCUCUGC